rnacentral:sRNA from 1 species
AUUUUCAAACUGCUCUAGCGCCGGAGUCCGUGCCUGGACGGAAGGAGCUAGUGGGGGACUCGAGGCCUGAGGGCAAUGCGGCUGGAGGCGGAGGCAACGGCGCCUGGAGCUGCCGGACUUUAAUUUUUGGAAGUGAAUAAAACUUGUUUUAGAAGACGAGAUGACUACAGCUGUAGAAAGAAAGUAUAUUAAUAUUAGGAAAAGACUGGAUCAGCUGGGAUACCGCCAGACUCUGACAGUGGAGUGUUUACCUUUGGUAGAAAAACUUUUCAGGUAAAGACAAAAAUACAGUUUUCAACCUAUAUGAUCCCUAACCACUUACCUCAUUUCUGAUUGAACUUCAUGCUUUGGUAAAGAAAAGGGUAGCUUUUCGGAAAGUCUUUCAAUCAUGAAGCUUAUCUGUUUUUUCCCUGUCCUCAAUCCAGGCCUUCCACAUGGCAGAACUCUAAAGGCCACCACUCACGCUGUACUGUUCAAAGUCAACAUUUCUGGGGGUUUUCUCUGUGAAUGGAAUUACAGUUUUUUGGGUUUCUGAUAUAAUUGAGAGACACUUUUCCCUUAAGUUCUUUUUUUUUCCCCCCCU